UACGUAGGGUGCGAGCGUUGUCCGGAAUUAUUGGGCGUAAAGGGCUCGUAGGCGGUUUGUCGCGUCGGGAGUGAAAGCCCAGGGCUUAACCCUGGGCUGGCUUCCGAUACGGGCAGACUAGAGGUAUGCAGGGGAGAACGGAAUUCCUGGUGUAGCGGUGAAAUGCGCAGAUAUCAGGAGGAACACCGGUGGCGAAGGCGGGUCUCUGGGCCGGCAUUGACGCUGAGGAGCGAAAGCCAGGGGAGCAAACGGG
rnacentral:rRNA from 1 species